rnacentral:rRNA from 1 species
AGAGUUUGAUCCUGGCUCAGGACGAACGCUGGCGGCGCGCCUAACACACGCAAGUCGAACGAGCGAGAGAGAGCUUGCUUUCUCAAGCGAGUGGCGAACGGGUGAGUAACGCGUGAGGAACCUGCCUCAAAGAGGGGGACAACAGUUGGAAACGACUGCUAAUACCGCAUAAGCCCACAGCUCGGCAUCGAGCAGAGGGAAAAGGAGCAAUCCGCUUUGAGAUGGCCUCGCGUCCGAUUAGCUGGUUGGUGAGGUAAUGGCCCACCAAGGCGACGAUCGGUAGCCGGACUGAGAGGUUGAACGGCCACAUUGGGACUGAGACACGGCCCAGACUCCUACGGGAGGCAGCAGUGGGGAAUAUUGCACAAUGGGGGAAACCCUGAUGCAGCGACGCCGCGUGGAGGAAGAAGGUCUUCGGAUUGUAAACUCCUGUUGUUGAGGAAGAUAAUGACGGUACUCAACAAGGAAGUGACGGCUAACUACGUGCCAGCAGCCGCGGUAAAACGUAGGUCACAAGCGUUGUCCGGAAUUACUGGGUGUAAAGGGAGCGCAGGCGGGAAGACAAGUUGGAAGUGAAAUCUAUGGGCUCAACCCAUAAACUGCUUUCAAACCUGUUUUCUUGAGUAGUGCAGAGGUAGGCGGAAUUCCCGGUGUAGCGGUGGAAUGCGUAGAUAUCGGGAGGAACACCAGUGGCGAAGGCGGCCUACUGGGCACCAACUGACGCUGAGGCUCGAAAGUGUGGGUAGCAAACAGGAUUAGAUACCCUGGUAGUCCACACCGUAAACGAUGAUUACUAGGUGUUGGAGGAUUGACCCCUUCAGUGCCGCAGUUAACACAAUAAGUAAUCCACCUGGGGAGUACGACCGCAAGGUUGAAACUCAAAGGAAUUGACGGGGGCCCGCACAAGCAGUGGAGUAUGUGGUUUAAUUCGACGCAACGCGAAGAACCUUACCAAGUCUUGACAUCCUGCGACGCACAUAGAAAUAUGUGUUUCCUUCGGGACGCAGAGACAGGUGGUGCAUGGUUGUCGUCAGCUCGUGUCGUGAGAUGUUGGGUUAAGUCCCACAACGAGCGCAACCCUUACUGUCAGUUACUACGCAAGAGGACUCUGGCAGGACUGCCGUUGACAAAACGGAGGAAGGUGGGGAUGACGUCAAAUCAUCAUGCCCUUUAUGACUUGGGCUACACACGUACUACAAUGGCGUUAAACAAAGAGAAGCAAGACCGCGAGGUGGAGCAAAACUCAGAAACAACGUCCCAGUUCGGACUGCAGGCUGCAACUCGCCUGCACGAAGUCGGAAUUGCUAGUAAUCGUGGAUCAGCAUGCCACGGUGAAUACGUUCCCGGGCCUUGUACACACCGCCCGUC